UCACUAACACUGAUGUGAGUGGGCACUGGGCAGGGACAGACUAGCUGCCCGGCACCAAACCACCCCCAAUUACUGGGCUGGCUGACUUGAGCAUUAGACACCCCCCGCCCCCCGAUCUUAUACCAGCGGCGGCCGAUAAUUCCCCCCCCCCCCGCUCCCCCCUUUGGAGUUUAAAACAGCCGUUACUGCAUCAUAUCCAGGUCCAUUCGCCACCGACUUUCACACACAGACAGCACCAGUGCUCCGGGGAACAUACUGCGGGUAGAAGACCUCUUCUGUGGGACUCCUGUGGUGGAGGGGGCACCAACAUCUGUCUUGCCUCCAGGCAUCUGGGACGAACUUACGCCACUGGUUAUAGCUGUGCCAUCUCUACUGCGGCUGCCUUGUCCCUCCUGACUCCUCAACUGGGUUCAGCAGACUAUGGGGUUACAUGCUGGAUUGUUACUUUCUCAUAAUGCUGCUCUUCAGGUAGCUGUGUCCUGGCGUAUCCUGUCUGGACUGAUCCCUGCGGAUGUCCUUUCCUGGUUUCCUCUUGUUCCGGCAGCAUACCUUCAUCGUUCGCAAGCUCCUGCUGCUACAGGUGGCUCAUUUCACCUCCAGUAACCCGGUCGGGUAGCUAUUAUCCAGAUACCCGAAAACCGAAAUAUUCUGAAAACCGUCGCACCAGACCCGCUGACGCUCUAGACCUGCUGAGGACCCCCUGGACACUUCCAGAUAACAGCAGUGGAUAUAUAUAGCAGCAGCGUAUAUCGUCACUGGAAUUACUGAUGACACAGGACACUGGAUAUAUGGCAGCAGAGAACACCGUGACUGCCUGGAAUGAUGCGGCACAAUACACUUGGCUAAUACUUGAUAACCUUAUCUUGAACAUGGAUACCUUGAUCGUUUCAGAAAUUUCAAGUACUUGAUGAACUGAUUGAUCAGAGUAAUUGGCUUAUCUAAUCUACUGGAUCCCUAUGGACAUCUAUCUAAUUUUAGGUUUAUAUAUUGGAUUCAAUUACAAUAAUUUUGUUAAUAUGUUUAACGUCUAAAGAAUAGUUGUAUAGAUAUAUUCUUGAUUGCCACAGCGUAUAUAUGUGUGGUAUGAUUGAUGGGGAUACCGCUUUAAGAUCCUUCACUAAACUGUACAAGUGUUGUAUGCCGUAUUCACUUCCGUGACCUGGGACCGGAUGUGCGUGUCACGGACCGGAAGUUGCUUUGUUUAGCUGUCUUCCGGGGCACGUGACCGGAUGUGCGGUUCACGGACCGGAAGUGACUCGGCCGUUGGAACGCACGCCGCUUUUUAAUGGUUUAGAUGGAUUAUAUAGCCUAACUGGUCGGUUUUGAUGAUUACCUACUAGAUACUUUGUACAUACAGAGCCCAUAUGGUCGACUGUUUUUCUAUUACAUUUAUUGCACUAGGAGUAUUCUUAAUGUUGAACAUGAGUGGGUGUAUCCCACCUUAUUGGUGGGAGGGAACCAAUAUGGGUAUAAAUAUCCGGACACUGCACCAUGUUUUUAUCUUGACAAAGGUCCUGGACAGGACCGAAACGUCGAUGUAGCUGUUUGACUUCUUGUUCUGAA